rnacentral:lncRNA from 1 species
UCGCAUUUCGGGUAGGCUUUGCCGGCGGCGGCUUCGGAGUACGCGCCGGGGACGCCUUGGUAGGCCACGCGCAGCUGGGAGCCGUGCAUAGGAGCUGGAGAGUAGUCGGUGAUGGUGAGUGCCCUGGGAGGCGGAGGCGGGGAAAUCGACUUGUCGUCUUCGAGCUUUUCGAUGGGGACAAUAUCGAGGUCAACGGAGGUCUUGUGGCCGUUGACGGAGGCAACAUGGUCAGCGGUUCCGGAUUUGUCGGAGGGGGUAUGGGGUUGCUGGGAGACGACGUUGCUGGCAAGAAUGGCGCAGGAGCUCUGCCAGUCGGCGCGACUGGAGCCGACGCCGUUGGGGAAGUGGACGGAGUCGGAGCGGUAGGCGCAUUUGAAGACGGGGAGCCGGGUGGGGGCGAGGCGGGCGAGGCGGAGUGCGGGGCUUGUGAGAUUGUUUGGUGAGGGCGGAAGAAGAGACUGCAUUGUGUUGGGGACUCGGAUGGAAUUUAGAAAAAUGGAAAUUGAUAUUAUAUAUUUUUAAAUUUUGUUUUGGGGGAAACUGAAGGCUUGGUGUUCUC